GAUAGGCUCUCCAAGGAGAUUUUGGCAGGGGUGAAAUGACUGGCAUUUUGACCUGAGCGAAAUUUCUGAAUUUCCGAGCUGUGAUAGACACUGGAGCUUCUGGCUCUUGGGACUCUAGCAGAACCCCACCUGCUCACCCGCAGGCCUCAGGCCUUCAGAUUAGGACUGAAUUCCACCACUGGCUUUCCGGGUUCUCCAGCUUGCAGAUGGCAGAUGAUGAGACUUCUCAGCCUCCAUAAUCAUGUGAGCCAAUUCCCAUAAUAAAUCUCUCUCUCUCUAUCUCUGUCUUACUCUCUCUUGAUUCUGUUUCUCUGAAGAACCCUAACUAAUACAGAUACCUUCAUUUUACAAAUGAAUAAAGUGCAGUGCCAGAGAAGUUCUGUGAAUUGUCUAGGGUCAUACACUCCUUCAUUUAUUUAAUUGUGCAUUAAGUCAACUAGUAUUCUAGGUACCAAGGAAGUCAACAUACUAGACCACAUUGCCUGUCUUCAAGAAAGUUAUGUUUUGGUUAG
rnacentral:lncRNA from 1 species